rnacentral:lncRNA from 1 species
UCAAUAAAUUAUGACAUUUGGGAAAGCAAUAAAAUGCUCAUAUUAAAACUUUAUAGAGCGUGAAGUAUUUUCAAUUUUCAGCAUGGCAUGACUAAAACUUAGUUUCAUUUUCAGCAUUCUUCUCAUGGCAAUCACAAGUUAGUAUACCUAUUUCUUUUAUCUAGAUUCUAAUUUUACAUUUUUAUUUGUCGAUAUAUAUAUAUAUAUAUAUUGCUAUAUCUGAGAAAAUAUUUUUAUCAAUUUGUUGAUAUGUUUUUCUAUGCAUGGUCUUUGAAUGUUCUAAUUUUCACCUUGUACCAGUCAAAAUUUUAGUUUUGGUAAUGUGGGAAUAUUUCAGUCAAUGUGUCGCAGUUUUUCAUGAGGCAAGCAUUGGCGGUAGAAGUUGAUCUUGAGCUCUCCGAACUCAAGCGGUGACUACUCCCACAACUUACGGAUUGGCUUACUUGUGAUAGACCUUGUGGAUCCGAUAGUGAAUGCAGUGAUUGUUGGUUUUGCUGCUGCUGUAUCCAUGCUGAAUCAUUUUUCACUACAGUUUGUAGAGGACCAUCUGGGUAGAAGAUCAAGACUAAUUCUAUUAUAAAUCUUUGAAAGGAUUUGGGUAAUUUCUAUGUGAUUUCAGUAUUUUGUUUUGUUGGUCUUUUGUUCUACUAUGUCUUUCACUUUGUACGAAUAAUGAGAAAAUCAAUGAGAAUGUUGUUUGUCUACUCCAAAGGCUGGCUUGACCAACUUUUCAAAUGUAAUCGUUGUUAGAUUCAUUUCCCUUGUGCUUUAUUUAUAACCUUUUGCCCUUGUCCAUUCUCUAAUUAUAAUCUAAUUUAAU